rnacentral:rRNA from 1 species
UACGGAGGGUGCAAGCGUUAUCCGGAUUCACUGGGUUUAAAGGGUGCGUAGGCGGGCAGGUAAGUCCGUGGUGAAAUCUCUGAGCUUAACUCAGAAACUGCCAUGGAUACUAUUUGUCUUGAAUGUUGUGGAGGUAAGCGGAAUAUGUCAUGUAGCGGUGAAAUGCUUAGAUAUGACAUAGAACACCAAUUGCGAAGGCAGCUCACUAAACUGUAACUGACGCUGAGGCACGAAAGCGUGGGGAUCAAACAGG